rnacentral:lncRNA from 1 species
UUAUAAAACCUAUCGUUGCUGAAAAAAAUCUCAUAAAAUAAAAGCAAGAAAACAAUAAACAUUAAAGAUAUGGGAAAGAAAGCAUAAUUGCUUUCUUUUGUUCAUGUAUGUGUAGUGUUGACUCCAACUGUCUUUAAACUUCCCGCUUGUUCCUCAGUCGAGUAGGUUUUAAGACUGAAGGUUGCACUGUUUGUUUUUGCUUUGCAUUUCUCAUUGGGAUCUUCCUUAUGAUUACGUCUUCACACGCCCUGCCGUCCCAACUUCUUUCCCUUUGAUGAGAUUUCUUCCUUCUUGCGCUAUUCAUUGGUGACAGAUCUCCUUUUAUUGAAGCGUCUGCUCGGCAUUGGUUUAAAAUAUCCUCUUCUUCCCCUUCUUCAUAUAAGUGUCUUCCUAGGAGAAUUGGAUUUGGCAUUACCGUCGCUUCCAAUAGUUGUCUUUCCAAGAUUACUGAAGCUGCUGUGACGAUCUGUCCCGCCUGCGACUUUGCAUUCCUCUGCUGCUUCUGAUUCUGACUAGUUGAUGGUAGCGCAUUUGCGAUUAUUCAGCCUGCGACUUUGCAUUCCUUUGUUGCUUCUGAUUCUGACUAGUUGAUGGCAGCGCAUUUGCGAUUCUGUCACCCACUGAUGCUUCGGCUAAGCUUAGUUGACGAUUAUUGACUGUUUCAUUUUUGUUGAACUUUGCUGUCGCUACAGUUGUAGUAACAGAUUUUGCGUUAUUUCUUGGAACAAAAACUGGAGCAUUAUGGUUUAAGAAACUGUUUUGAGUUGGUGUUUGAUUUAAAGUUGCACGACAGUUGUUAUUUGUAGUUUUCCUUUGAAAUUUUCGUUUGGAACAAAAAGUGGAGCAUUAUGGUUUAAGAAACUGUUUUGAGUUGGUGUUUGAUACAGAGAUGCACGACAGUUGUUAUCUGUAGUUUUCCUUUGAAAUUUUCGCUUGACUGAAUAUCGCUGUCCUCUCCACUAUAUUCUUGGUCAUCUUCUUCCGAUGAAUAAGCAGCAAAACCUUUACACCAGCUCUCCUCAUCAUCGUAAUCUCGUUGGUCUUUCCACAGUUUCGAUUUACUGGCUAG